AACCAGACCCAUGAAGAUCUUGAAAUAGCAUCUUUGUAGCCUCCUGGUUCAGACUUGAUUCAUGGUAUCGCAAUCAGCAUCUUGCCUCUUUUGGAGUUCAGCAGCCUCCUUGUUUUGCUCAGUUUGCAACCAGACAGUGGUCUGUGACGGAGACACGAGUACCGAUGGAGGUGUGGGAGCAUCACAGAGGAAGUUGUAGUGAAGGAAGACUUGCUUCGCCUUGCUUCGCUUUGACAUCUCUCCUUGCUCCCUGGAUAAGCUAAGAGGUCCUGAGCAGAAACCCAAACGAUACCACAUCUUCACACGGGAACCCAGAGUGCUGGUGAUAUUAGCAGUGUGCACAGUGAAGGAAGACAAUGGUGGAUCAGUAGCAGACGGAUUAGUGGAGCUCUCAGUCCUUGUGUAGUAAAUGGUGAUUAAUGAAGAAACUCACAACUGAUAGAAGUCCUCAGCUACAAAUGAAGCAUCCAUACCACCCACUCCCAAGGCUCAGUGAUCAUCACGGAACUGGGGGAAAGAGUUUAAGGUCCAGAGGUCAGGGAGGACUAGAGCAAAACUGUCACCUGGACAUGGCAAAAUGUCUGCACUCAGGAAUUCACAGUCACUGUGGUUGCCUGUACAAGACCUGCUGCACAAGGUCAAUCUACUCAAUAUUCUAGCACCAAGAGGAGAGGAGAUAAUGAACCCACCCCCAGAUGAGGAGCUCUUUACUGUUGAUGGACUCUGGGAGAGGGAGAGUAAGUUUUCUUCAAGGCUGUGAACCCUGGUGUUCUUCUACGGUGCCUGGGCUGGCCUCAAACUUGGAAUUCUCCCACGUCAUCCUCCAGGGUCUGCUUCCUCAUCCAGGGUGAUGCAUUGAAUUGUGACACAUGGGGGUCAAUGAAAUUAACCAUCUUUCCAGUGAGAAAUAAUUCAUCAGGCAGCAUUUGCUCUUGUGCUUUCCUCUGUUGUGAGUGAAUGAAGUCUUGGGAAGGCCUGGAACAAACAGGCCUUACGUAAGUGUCAUGUAGUACUCACUCAAUGGAAAGUAUU